GAAUUUCCCGUCCGAAGAAGGAGAGUGGAAUUCCAUGUGUAGCGGUGAAAUGCGUAGAUAUAUGGAGGAACACCAGUGGCGAAGGCGGCUCUCUGGUCUGUAACUGACGCUGAGGCUCGAAAGCGUGGGGAGCGAACAGGAUUAGAUACCCUGGUAGUCCACGCCGUAAACGAUGAGUGCUAAGUGUUGGAGGGUUUCCGCCCUUCAGUGCUGCAGCAAACGCAUUAAGCACUCCGCCUGGGGAGUACGACCGCAAGGUUGAAACUCAAAGGAAUUGACGGGGGCCCGCACAAGCGGUGGAGCAUGUGGUUUAAUUCGAAGCAACGCGAAGAACCUUACCAGGUCUUGACAUCCUUUGACCACUCUAGAGAUAGAGCUUCCCCUUCGGGGGCAAAGUGACAGGUGGUGCAUGGUUGUCGUCAGCUCGUGUCGUGAGAUGUUGGGUUAAGUCCCGCAACGAGCGCAACCCUUAUUGUUAGUUGCCAUCAUUUAGUUGGGCACUCUAGCGAGACUGCCGGUGACAAACCGGAGGAAGGUGGGGAUGACGUCAAAUCAUCAUGCCCCUUAUGACCUGGGCUACACACGUGCUACAAUGGGAAGUACAACGAGUUGCGAAGUCGCGAGGCUAAGCUAAUCUCUUAAAGCUUCUCUCAGUUCGGAUUGUAGGCUGCAACUCGCCUGCAUGAAGCCGGAAUCGCUAGUAAUAAUA
rnacentral:rRNA from 1 species